GGCAAGAUGGCGGAGUGGUCAAUCGCGUUGCCCUUAAGAUGCAAUCUCUUCGGAGGCGUGGGUUCGAACCCCACUCUUGCCA
rnacentral:tRNA from 1 species